rnacentral:rRNA from 1 species
UACGUAGGCGGUUUAUUAAGUCAGAUGUGAAAGCCCCGGGCUUAACCUGGGAACUGCAUUUGAUACUGGUAAACUAGAGUAUGGUAGAGGGGGGUAGAAUUCCUAGUGUAGCGGUGAAAUGCGUAGAUAUUAGGAGGAAUACCAGUGGCGAAGGCGGCCCCCUGGACCAAUACUGACGCUGAGGUACGAAAGCGUGGGUAGCGAAUA